GUCUAUGGUCAUACCACUCUGAACGCGCCUGGUCUCGUCUGAUCUCGGAAACUAAGCAGGGUCGGGCCUGGUUAGUACUUGGAUGGGAGGUUAAGUGUGACAUGACAUAUGGAUU
rnacentral:rRNA from 1 species